rnacentral:misc_RNA from 1 species
UCUCUGUUGGUGAACCAGCGGAGGGAUCAUUAUCGAGUUUAUAACUCCCAAACCCUAUGUGAACUUACCACUUGUUGCUUCGGCGCGCGCUUCGGUGCCGCCGAGGACACUUAAACUCUUUGUUUUUAUAAGCAUUUCUGAGUGGCCGAAAGGCAAAAUACAAAUGAAUCAAAACUUUCAACAACGGAUCUCUUGGUUCUG